GGAAUCUUGCGCAAUGGGCGAAAGCCUGACGCAGCGACGCCGCGUGGAGGAUGAAGACCCUUGGGUCGUAAACUCCUGUCAGCUGGGAAGAAAGACGCGUGGUGAACAGCCACGCGGGGUGACUGUACCAGCAGCGGAAGCCCCGGCCAACUCCGGGCCAGCAGCCGCGGUAAUACGGAGGGGGCAAGCGUUGUUCGGAAUCAUUGGGCGUAAAGGGCGCGUAGGCGGCCGUUCAAGUCGGGUGUGAAAUCCCUCGGCUCAACCGAGGAACUGCACCCGAUACUGCUCGGCUAGAGUCCGGGAGGGGGUAGCGGAAUUCCCAGUGUAGCGGUGAAAUGCGUAGAUAUUGGGAAGAACACCGGUGGCGAAGGCGGCUACCUGGACCGGAACUGACGCUGAGGCGCGAAAGCCAGGGGAGCGAAUGGG
rnacentral:rRNA from 1 species